UAGAGUUUGAUCAUGGCUCAGAUUGAACGCUGGCGGCAGGCCUAACACAUGCAAGUCGAGCGCGAAAGCACUUCGGUGUGAGUAGAGCGGCGGACGGGUGAGUAAUGCUUGGGAAUCUGCCCAGUAGUGGGGGAUAACGUGUGGAAACGCACGCUAAUACCGCAUACGUCCUACGGGAGAAAGCAGGGGAUCUUCGGACCUUGCGCUAUUGGAUGAGCCCAAGUCAGAUUAGCUAGUUGGUGGGGUAAUGGCCUACCAAGGCGACGAUCUGUAGCUGGUCUGAGAGGAUGAUCAGCCACACUGGGACUGAGACACGGCCCAGACUCCUACGGGAGGCAGCAGUGGGGAAUAUUGCACAAUGGGCGAAAGCCUGAUGCAGCCAUGCCGCGUGUGUGAAGAAGGCUCUAGGGUUGUAAAGCACUUUCAGUAGGGAGGAAAUGUUGUUGAUUAAUACUCAACAAUCUUGACGUUACCUACAGAAGAAGCACCGGCAAACUCCGUGCCAGCAGCCGCGGUAAUACGGAGGGUGCGAGCGUUAAUCGGAAUUACUGGGCGUAAAGCGCGCGUAGGUGGUUUGAUAAGCUAGCUGUGAAAGCCCCGGGCUUAACCUGGGAACUGCAGUUAGAACUGUCUGACUAGAGUACUGUAGAGGGGGGUAGAAUUUCA
rnacentral:rRNA from 1 species